CUCAUCUCAGGGAUCAGAAACAUAGUCCCGGCCAGCAACUUGCUCCUUGUUGAAACAGAACAGAACAGAAGCAAGCAACAAGAACACAACAAUGAUGGAUUGUCAGGCUAAUUUUGUGUUGAAAGUAAAUUUCUGCACGGACCUGGAGGCAGGAAGAGGUCACACCUGGCCCUGUGUCUACUGUACUCUAGGUGUGGAGCUACUGUCAGUCACAGGCACACCUUGGCCAAAUUACACACAGAAUCAAGUGGAAAAGGAUUUGUUCAUGCCCAGCACAGCUUAUCUCCUCCUCAUUCCAAUUUCCAGUUACCUCUCCUAAAAUAUGAUUGGAAAUUAUCUAUGAGCUGACCAUAUCUUUUUCCAUUAGGAUGACAAGGCUGUUUGUGAAUAGUAUCUUCAUUCGGAUGUCUAAACUAGAAUCUCAAUAAGCUCCAUAAAAUUAAG
rnacentral:lncRNA from 1 species